CCUACGGGAGGCAGCAGUGGGGAAUAUUGGGCAAUGGGCGCAAGCCUGACCCAGCAACGCCGCGUGAAGGAAGAAGGCUUUCGGGUUGUAAACUUCUUUUGUCAGGGACGAAGCAAGUGACGGUACCUGACGAAUAAGCCACGGCUAACUACGUGCCAGCAGCCGCGGUAAUACGUAGGUGGCAAGCGUUAUCCGGAUUUACUGGGUGUAAAGGGCGUGUAGGCGGGGAGGCAAGUCAGAUGUGAAAACCACGGGCUCAACCUGUGGCCUGCAUUUGAAACUGUUUUGCUUGAGUUCAGGUGAGGCAGACGGAAUGUCUAGUGUAGCGGUGAAAUGCGUAGAUAUUAGGAGGAACACCAGUGGCGAAGGCGGUCUGCUGGACAGCAACUGACGCUGAGGCGCGAAAGCGUGGGGAGCAAACAGGAUUAGAUACCCUUGUAGUC
rnacentral:rRNA from 1 species